rnacentral:rRNA from 1 species
UAGUGAGUUUGGAUCCUGGCUCAGAGCGAACGCUGGCGGCAGGCCUAACACAUGCAAGUCGAACGGACCUUUCGGGGUUAGUGGCGGACGGGUGAGUAACGCGUGAGAAUCUGCCUUCUGGUCGGGGACAACCACUGGGAAACGGUGGCUAAUACCGGAUAUGCCUAUGGGUGAAAGAUUAAUUGCCAGAAGAAGAGCUCGCGUCUGAUUAGCUAGUUGGAGAGGUAAAGGCUCACCAAGGCAUCGAUCAGUAGCUGGUCUGAGAGGACGACCGGCCACACUGGGACUGAGACACGGCCCAGACUCCUACGGGGAGCAGCAGUGGGGAACUUUUCGCAAUGGGCGAAAGCCUGACGGAGCAAUACCGCGUG